AUACAGACUGCGUGCUCGCACGCAAGGAUGUAUUCACAUCGGACGGGCUCGCUGGUAUGAGAAAUAAGGCCGCUAGGCCGGUUUUCGAAUACCUGCGACGAUUGCGGGAACGCCGCAGGCGUGCAGCAAUCGGC
rnacentral:sRNA from 1 species